rnacentral:lncRNA from 1 species
GGGUCUCUCUGUUAUUGCUAUCCUUCCCAACCCCCCUCCCCUCCCAUUCCCGGGCACCUCCUGAGGGGGGUUAGUGGCAUUGGAGCCAGAGGAGGGGAUGGUGGCAGGGCUCAGAUUCAUCAGGGCUCAGAUUCAUCGGACCCUUUGACAGACCCUCCCCCCAAAUGAUGCUAUAAAACAAGGAGCAGAAGGUUGUCGCUACUAAAACAGCAACCCUCUUGUAUAGUUGAUGAGAAAUCGAAUUAGGUUUCUCAGAUGAUGCUAAAAA